AUACGGAGGGUGCAAGCGUUAAUCGGAAUUACUGGGCGUAAAGAGUACGUAGGUGGUUUGUUAAGUCAGAUGUGAAAGCCCCGGGCUCAACCUGGGAACUGCAUUUGAAACUGGCAAACUAGAGUAUGGUAGAGGGGGGUAGAAUUUCUAGUGUAGCGGUGAAAUGCGUAGAUAUUAGAAGGAAUACCAGUGGCGAUGGCGGCCCCCUGGACCAAUACUGACACUGAGGUACGAAAGCGUGGGUAGCGAACAGGAUUAGAAACCCUAGUAGUCC
rnacentral:rRNA from 1 species